rnacentral:snoRNA from 1 species
AGACCCUUUGCCUCGCUCGGGCUUAUGCUAUUAACCAUAAACUCUUGAGCUGGAUGGCUUUACUCUUUUGGAGUAUAUUAUCAGCUAUAGGGUGAUAUUACUUUGACAUCUUUGAGUACGGGCAUGUUGCUUUUCCAUAGCAUUGUUAACGUAAUUAGAUUGUCGCACAUAA